GAUGAAGAACGUAGCAAAAUGCGAUAAGUAAUGUGAAUUGCAGAAUUCAGUGAAUCAUCGAAUCUUUGAACGCACAUUGCGCCCGCCAGUAUUCUGGCGGGCAUGCCUGUUCGAGCGUCAUUUCAACCCUCAAGCUCAGCUUGGUGUUGGGACUCGCGGUAACCCGCGUUCCCCAAAUCGAUUGGCGGUCACGUCGAGCUUCCAUAGCGUAGUAAUCAUACACCUCGUUACUGGUAAUCGUCGCGGCCACGCCGUAAAACCCCAACUUCUGAAUGUUGACCUCGGAUCAGGUAGGAAUACCCGCUGAACUUAAGCAUAUCAAUAAACGGAGGA
rnacentral:misc_RNA from 1 species